AAGAUAUACGAAUAUUUGUGAAAAAAAAAAAAAAAACUCGUAACGCUAAUUUUAUAGUCAAAACAAAAAAAUUAUCA
rnacentral:misc_RNA from 1 species